ensembl:antisense Gm11513 predicted gene 11513
AGCAGCAACCUUGGGAGGGUCCAGAAAUCACCCCCUCUCUAGAGGCUGGAGAGAACAGGGGUCUGAGGCCCAAGUGUCCUACAGUAACAGAGGGCUCAGACAUCUACCUGCCUCGCUGAGCCCCUUUAUUGACAAAGAUCCUGGUAUCUCCAUAGGGGGCUGAGGCUUCUAGUGGACAACGGGUGCUGCCAGCAGGCUAGCUGCUGACACAGAACCUCUUCCCAGAGUGAUCUGGAACCUGCCUCGGGAACCCUCGGUUUAAAAGGCCCCGCCACCCUGUGGGAAGACACGAGACUGGCUCAGAGGUCUUGGACGUCCUAGUGAGGGCUCAAUGACAGUGCCUAGGCUGGUCUUGAACACUUGAACUCAUGAUCCUCCUGCUUCAACCUGCCAACCACCAAGAAGACUGGAAUUGUCUCCACCCUGCUCAGUUUUCCUCAUGACGUCAGUUAGCAUGCACUGCAUACCUACAACGCACCUGGCCUGGUGUGUACAAUGCUAUCCCUUACCGGAGCCCGUCUCUCUAGAAUAAACCAGGGAGAGACAUAUCCACGCACAGACUCAAUGCUGGAAGGGCAUCGGAAAACCGCAGGACAUUCUAGCAGGGGCUGGUGUGAAGGAGAGUAAUGGUAGACAUGUUCUAUCUACACUUUUGUGCUUUCCAGGUGUCAAAAGAACAUUUUACCCUUCUGUAAGUGGGAGACGUCAUAAUCAAUGACGUCUUUCAUUUAAAAAGAAAAAUCGAACCUUC